GUGGGAAGGAGGGGCGGCUGGCGUCCCUAGCGUACCCCGUGUUUCCUAAGCACACCGCUUUGCUUGGAGGUUCGCGCCCUGUAGCAAUCCGCGCUCCCUGCCGGCUGCAGUCCUGUCUCCCGUCCCCCCCGACCCCACGCCCCGCACCUCCCUCUGCCCCGUCAUCGGUGGAGUUCGCUCAGGCUGGGCACCACCCCGGGAGUGCCCCAGGCCGAACUGAAUGGCGCACGCGGCCCGGCACCAGUGGGUGGCUUCGGCUGGGCCAGACCCAGGCCUCAAGUGUCCUCUUUGAGAUGGGCGGGGCGCAGGGAACCGCACCACUAGAUUGGCAACAGGCGGACCACGCGCUCAUCCCUUUCCCGAGGCUGGAACUCUGCCUCACUGCUCUCCUUCCCGGUCCCCUGGCCUCACGUAUCUAGGUCUUACCGGCCUCCAAGUCUUCAAUGUCUAUAGGGCAUCUCCUCCCCAGCUUUGGGAAUCUGCCUCAAUUCUAUGCCCUCCCCAACUUGAAAACUUCACAAAUCUGAGGACUUCACUGUUUAAGGAAGUUGAACUUGCCCCAUCUCUAAGCAGCCAAGCUUGAAUGAAUCACCUUCUCCCCUCCACCAGCAACACUUCCCCACCCACCCACACACAUACAAGGGACUCCAAAAUAUCCAGUGAUUUCAACACUACCCCCCAACACACACACACACACACAACUCCAAAAUAUUCAGUAACAGGGGCUGCAAACUUUGUAUCAAAAAUAUUAAAAGACAAGUAUUGUAUAACAAAGAUAUUUUAAUAACAAAGUUGUGGGAAGGCCAGUAUUCUGAAAUGAGUAGGGCUCAAAAUAGAAGGCAGGAAGCUGGAGGGUAAAAGAGUCCUCCUAUCCUUCCGGUCUGUCCCAGGGGCUGGCUGCCUCAUGACCUCCACCCAACCCUCCUAGAUCCCCUGAAUGCUGGCUCACUGCUCUCUCCAACUUGCCACACAAGGGAGCUCUGGGGAUCACAGCCUCCAGGAUUAGUUUUUCACUAUCCAGGCAUCUAAACUGUAAGGGCCCUUUGGGUUGGGGGAGGGGAGCACCUUUUUGGAGCCAUCUGUCUCUUCUUCCCUCCAGGCUCUCUGCCCUUGGCAGGGAUGGGAAGAGAUGGGCUUAAGCCUACUUUGGACAGAAGCUCCGCUAACUCCGCUGAGCCCAUCCUGGGAGUGCAGGAGUGGGAAAGGAUAUAGCUGGUAGAAGACCCCAGGCCGUACACUCUACCAAGUAACCUGGACAAGCCCCUCAAGGACACUGGAACUUUCCUCAUUCCUACGUAUCAGCCUUGGGUUCAUGUUCUAGGCAGCACUGUUAUACAUAGCCUUCUCCCCUCCUCUGCCCCAAAUCUGUCUGCUGAUUCCCAUGUCCAGAGGAUGACCAACUAACUGUCACGGCAGAAGCUGGUUAUGGUGGCCGAGGUCCAUGAGGGCCACCCUGAAGGUUAUUGUGUGACAGUUUUCAGAAAGUCAAGUGGAGACCACAAGAAACACAUUGCAGUGGUAUUUGAGAUGUGCAUUUUAGGAUGGAGCCGCUGAGGGGCUGGGGAUUUAGCUCAGUGGUAGAGCGCUUGCCUAGGAAGCACAAGGCCCUGGGUUCGGUCCCCAGCUCCGAAAAAAAGACCAAAAAAAAAAAAAAAAAAAAAAAAAGAAUUCUUAACAGUAG
ensembl:lncRNA